GUACGUACAAGCAGUGGGAGCACAGGUUUACCUGUGUGACUGCGUACCUUUUGUAUAAUGGGUCAGCGACUUAUAUUCUGUAGCAAGGUUAACCGUAUAGGGGAGCCGCAGGGAAACCGAGUCUUAAUUGGGCGUUAAGUUGCAGGGUAUAGACCCGAAACCCGGUGAUCUAGCCAUGGGCAGGUUGAAGGUUGGGUAACACUAACUGGAGGACCGAACCGACUAAUGUUGAAAAAUUAGCGGAUGACCUGUGGCU
rnacentral:rRNA from 1 species